rnacentral:miRNA from 1 species
ACGGUAGCAUUCACUGUAAC